rnacentral:rRNA from 1 species
GACGAACGCUGGCGGCGUGCCUAAUACAUGCAAGUCGAACGCAGUGGCGGACGGGUGAGUAACACGUGGGUAACUGCCCCCCUCUCUGGGAUAACAGUUGGAAACGGCUGCUAAUACCGGAUAGUGGGGGAUGACUCGCGUCCUAUCAGCUUGUGGGUGGGGUAGUGGCCUACAAAGGCGACGACGGGUAGCCGGCCGGAGAGGGCGACCGGCCACAUCGGGCUGAGAUACGUCCCAAACGCCUACGGGAGGCAGCAGGGGGGAAUAUUGCACAAUGGGGGAAACCCUGAUGCAGCAACGCCGCGUGCGGGAUGACGGCCUUCGGGUUGUAAACCGCUUUCAGCCAUGACGCGGUAGUGGCAGAAGAAGCACCGGCUAACUACGUGCCAGCCGCCGCGGUAAUUC